rnacentral:rRNA from 1 species
UACGGGGGGGGCAAGCGUUGUUCGGAAUUACUGGGCGUAAAGGGCUCGUAGGCGGCCAACUAAGUCGGACGUGAAAUCCCCAGGCUCAACCUGGGAACUGCGUCUGAUACUGGAUGGCUUGAGUUCGGGAGAGGGAUGCGGAAUUCCAGGUGUAGCGGUGAAAUGCGUAGAUAUCUGGAGGAACACCGGUGGCGAAGGCGGCAUCCUGGACCGACACUGACGCUGAGGAGCGAAAGCCAGGGGAGCAAACGGG